rnacentral:tRNA from 2 species
GGUCGGGAUAGCUCAGCUGGUAGAGCAGAGGACUGAA